rfam:Trichobilharzia regenti genome assembly, scaffold: TRE_scaffold0123057
GUACUGCUGAAGAGUCCUAAAAUAGGACGAAACAGCUGUCCAGUAC